rnacentral:rRNA from 1 species
UACAGAGGUCUCAAGCGUUGUUCGGAUUCAUUGGGCGUAAAGAGCUCGUAGGCGGUGUGUCACGUCGGCCGUGAAAACCUGCAGCUUAACUGUGGGCGUGCGGUCGAUACGGGCAUCACUGGAGUUCGGCAGGGGAGACUGGAAUUCCUGGUGUAGCGGUGAAAUGCGCAGAUAUCAGGAGGAACACCGGUGGCGAAGGCGGGUCUCUGGGCCGAUACUGACGCUGAGGAGCGAAAGCGUGGGGAGCAAACAGG